UACGUAGGGACCAAGCGUUGUCCGGAAUCAUUGGGCGUAAAGAGCGUGUAGGCGGCUUGUUAAGUCUUGCGUGAAAUCUCGGGGCUCAACCCCGAGCGGUCGUGAGAAACUGGCAGGCUAGAGUGCGGGAGAGGAGAGUGGAAUUCCUGGUGUAGCGGUGAAAUGCGCAGAUAUCAGGAGGAACACCGAUGGCGAAGGCAGGUCUCUGGGCUGACACUGACGUCAUGCA
rnacentral:rRNA from 1 species